AACGAACGCUGGCGGCAUGCCUAACACAUGCAAGUCGAACGAGACCUUCGGGUCUAGUGGCGCACGGGUGCGUAACGCGUGGGAACCUGCCCUUAGGUUCGGAAUAACUCCCCGAAAGGGGUGCUAAUACCGGAUAAUGUCUUCGGACCAACGAUUUAUCGCCUUUGGAUGGGCCCGCGUUGGAUUAGCUAGUUGGUAGGGUAAAAGCCUACCAAGGCGACGAUCCAUAGCUGGUCUGAGAGGAUGAUCAGCCACACUGGGACUGAGACACGGCCCAGACUCCGACGGGAGGCAGCAGUGGGGAAGAGUGCAGAAUGGGCGCAAGCCUGCUGCAGCGAUGACGCGGGUAUGAAGAAGGCAUUCGGGUUGUAAAGUAGUUCCAGCGGGGAGGAAGGGAGUAAAGUGAAAACCUUCGCUCAUUGACGUUACCCGAAGAGGAAGCACCGGCUAACUCCGUG
rnacentral:rRNA from 1 species